rnacentral:rRNA from 1 species
CCCUUAGAUGUCCUGGGCCGCACGCGCGUUACACUGAUGCAUUCAACGAGCUUAUAACCUUGGCCGAGAGGCCUGGGCAAUCUUGUUAACGUGCAUCGUGAUAGGGAUAGAUUAUUGAAAUUAUUAAUCUUGAACGAGGAAUUCCUAGUAAACGCAGAUCAUCAAUCUGCGUUGAUUACGUCCCUGCCCUUUGUACACACCGCCCGUCGCUACUACCGAUUGGGAAAAUUUUAGAGAGUCCUGGACUGAUGAUUGUUCGGCUUCACGGCCUUACUUUCGUCGGGAAAGAAUUCGAUAAUAUUUUUCUAGAGGAAGUAAAAGUCGUAACA